CCCCUAGAUGUUCUGGGCCGCACGCGCGCUACACUGAACAGUUCAACAAGUCUUAACCUUGGCCGAUAGGUCUAGGUAAUCUUUGAACGCUGUUCGUGAUUGGGAUAGACCUUUGCAAUUAUGGGUCUUCAACGAGGAAUUCCUAGUAAACGCAAGUCAUCAGCUUGCAUUGAUUACGUCCCUGCCCUUUGUACACACCGCCCGUCGCACCUACCGAUUGAAUGGUCCGGUGAAAUCUCGGGACGGCGGCUUGGUCGCUUGCGUCCGACUGCUGAAACUUGAUUAAACCAUAUCAUUUAGAGGAAGGUGAAGUCGUAACA
rnacentral:rRNA from 1 species